ACCAAUCCUCACCAAAAUCCAUCCACAAGCUCGCCUCAACUUCCUGAAACUCCCAGAAGCAGCCUCACACGGCGGCGUGGCCCGUAGCAGUGGCUGCAAGUCAAACCCAACCAAGAACGAGACCGGAGCUAUCGAUCAAGAUAUCUCGAGCUGUAGUGCAUCGUUUUGAUUGAUUCUUUUUCCAGUGGGUUCCCCUUGAUGUUAUUAACAACUCUCUAGAAGGCAUCGAGGCCUGAAAUUGAAGCUUUGACGUCGAAAUCGAGCCUUGCCGGAUUCUGCAAAAUUCUGGAAUUUUUUCGACCACCGAAGCUUUCGAUCGGUAUAUCUCGAGCUACAGACCAUAUUUUUCUGUGAUUCUUGAACCAGUGAGUUCUUCUUGAGUUUCUUAACAACUCUUUAGAAGGAAUCGAAGCCUUAAAUUGACGUUUUUACGUCGAAUUGGAGCUCGCCGUUUUCUGCAGUUUCUUGCCGGUUUCUGGAAAAUUCCGGCCACCUUCAUACUGUUCAAGGUGAUCGACGGUUUGAUUUGGCGGACGAUUCGUGAAAUUGUAUUUUGAGCUGUUAAGAAGACGCAGCGGGAAUUUAGAGCGGGUAAUCCUACAGGACAGGAGAACCAGGACGGUGAUCGUGCAGUUAGAGCAAUGGUUAUAGUUUUACAGCAAUUGUAUUAGUGAGGCGAGUUAAGCUCAUUUGAGCAUUACAAUUUGAUUUGGUGGGAGUGUGCUGUAAUAAAUAACUUGAGGAUUUGGGUUAUUGUAAAUUUGAGAGUUGUGAAGUGUGGUUGUUUGUGAGAAAAAAAUUCAGGAUGUUAGUUGUAAUUUGUUAUUAUUCAUGUUUCGGAUUUGAAUUGAUUAUUCAAAAUUCGGGGCGUGACAGUUUGGUAUCAGAGCGUAAGGUACAUAUUUGGUGAUAAUCAGUACCUCCCGAGUGAUGGCCCGUCUGCAGCGGAUCCCCAUCAUAUACUCUUCGGUACUGGUAUAAUCAUUGGGUAUG